rnacentral:rRNA from 1 species
CUAGGUGUAGCCGGUGAAAUGGGUAGAGAUUAGGAAGAAACACCAGUGGCGAAGGCCGGACUUACGGGGACUGUAACUGACACUGAGGCAGGAAAGGCGGUGGGGGGGCAAACAGGGAUUAGAUACCCUGGUAGUCCACGCCGUAAACGAUGAGUACUAGGGUGUAGGGGGGUAUCGACUCCCUCUGGGGCCGCAGUUAACACAAUAAGUACUCCGCCUGGGAAGUACGGUCGCAAGAUUAAAACUCAAAGGAAUUGACGGGGGCCCGCACAAGCAGCGGAGCAUGUGGUUUAAUUCGAAGCAACGCGAAGAACCUUACCUAGGGCUUGACUUCUCUGAAUACCCAGUAACUCGGCGAAGCCUUUCGGGGCAGGAAGACAGGUGGUGCAGGUUGUCGUCAGCUCGUGUCGUGAGAUGUUGGGUUAAGUCCCGCAACGAGCGCAACCCUUGUUAUUAGUUGCUACCAUUUGUUGAGCACUCUAAUGAGACUGCCGUGGUUAACGCGGAGGAAGGUGGGAUGACGUCAAAUCAUCAUGCCCCUUAUGUCUAGGGCUACACACGUGCUACAAUGGUGAGUACAAAGAGACGCAAUACCGCGAGGUGGAGCAAAACUCAAAAACUCAUCCCAGUUCGGAUUGUAGGCUGAAACUCGCCUACAUGAAGCCGGAGUUGCUAGUAAUCGCGAAUCAGCAUGUCGCGGUGAAUACGUUCCCGGGCCUUGUACACACCGCCCGUCACACCAUGAGAGUCUGCAACACCCGAAGUCCGUGAGGUAACCCGUAAGGGAGCCAGCGGCCGAAGGUGGGGCCGAUGAUUGGGGUGAAGUCGUAACAAGUA